rnacentral:rRNA from 1 species
AGCAGCAGCCGCGGUAAUACGUAGGGUGCGAGCGUUAAUCGGAAUUACUGGGCGUAAAGCGUGCGCAGGCGGUUAUAUAAGACAGAUGUGAAAUCCCCGGGCUCAACCUGGGACCUGCAUUUGUGACUGUAUGGCUAGAGUACGGUAGAGGGGGAUGGAAUUCCGCGUGUAGCAGUGAAAUGCGUAGAUAUGCGGAGGAACACCGAUGGCGAAGGCAAUCCCCUGGACCUGUACUGACGCUCAUGCACGAAAGCGCGGGGAGCAAACAGGAUUAGAUACCCGUGUAGUCCCUGUCUCUUAUAC